rnacentral:tRNA from 1 species
ACUUAAAUAGUUUAAAUAAAAUAUUGAUUUGUGGUAUCAGUGAUAUAUAAAAUUAUAUUUUAGGUU